rnacentral:rRNA from 1 species
AAUAGGGGAGCAGCCUGACGUUACUCACAGAAGAAGCACCGGCUAACUCCGUGCCAGCAGCCGCGGUAAUACGGAGGGUGCAAGCGUUAAUCGGAAUUACUGGGCGUAAAGCGCGCGUAGGCGGAUAAUUAAGUCAGAUGUGAAAGCCCAGGGCUCAACCUUGGAAUUGCAUUUGAUACUGGUUAUCUAGAGUACAGCAGAGGGGGGUGGAAUUUCAGGUGUAGCGGUGAAAUGCGUAGAUAUCUGGAGGAACAUCAGUGG